AACGCGAAGAACCUUACCAGUCCUUGACAUCCUGCUGACGUAUCAGUAACGUGAUAUUUCUUACGGGACAGCAAAGCCAGGUGGUGCAUGGUCGUCGUCAGCUCGUGUCGUGAGAUGUUGGGUUAAGUCCAGCAACGAGCGCAACCCCUGUCCUCAGUAGCCAGCAGUUAGGCUGGGCACUCUGAGGAGACUGCCGGGGACAACCCGGAGGAAGGCGGGGACGACGUCAAAUCAUCAUGCCCCUUAUGGGCUGGGCUACACACGUGCUACAAUGGCGUCCACAAAGUGAAGCGAACUUGCGAAGGGGAGCAAAUCCCAGAAAAGCCGUCCCUAGGUUUUCG
rnacentral:rRNA from 1 species